rnacentral:rRNA from 1 species
GACAGAGGAUGCAAGCGUUAUCCGGAAUGAUUGGGCGUAAAGCGUCUGUAGGUGGCUUUUCAAGUCCGCCGUCAAAUCCCCGGGCUCAACCUGGGAACUGCAUUGGUGACUGCAAGGCUUGAGUGUGUCAGAGGGAGGUGGAAUUCCGCGUGUAGCAGUGAAAUGCGUAGAUAUGCGGAGGAACACCGAUGGCGAAGGCAGCCUCCUGGGAUAACACUGACGCUCAUGCACGAAAGCGUGGGGAGCAAACAGG